GAUGAAGAACGUAGCGAAAUGCGAUAAGUAAUGUGAAUUGCAGAAUUCAGUGAAUCAUCGAAUCUUUGAACGCACAUUGCGCCCGCCAGUAUUCUGGCGGGCAUGCCUGUUCGAGCGUCAUUUCAACCAUCAAGCCCCAGGCUUGUGUUGGGGACCUGCGGCCGCCGCAGGCCCUGAAAACCAGUGGCGGGCUCGCUGUCACACCGGGCGUAGUAGAUUUUAUCUCGCUCUGGGCGUGCUGCGGGUUCCGGCCGUUAAAAAACCCUUUUAACCCAAGGUUGACCUCGGAUCAGGUAGGAAUACCCGCUGAACUUAAGCAUAUCAAUAAGCGGAGGA
rnacentral:misc_RNA from 1 species